rnacentral:rRNA from 1 species
GACGAACGCUGGCGGCGUGCCUAACACAUGCAAGUCGAGCGGAGUCGAUCGACGGAAGCCUUCGGGCGGAAGAUGGUUGACUUAGCGGCGGAUGGGUGAGCAACGCGUGGGCAACCUGCCUCGAAGACCGGGAUAACAGUCCGAAAGGGCUGCUAAUACCGGAUGUGGUCAAGGAUCCGCAUGGAUUUUUGAUUAAAGGGGAAACCCGUUUCGAGAUGGGCCCGCGUCCUAUCAGCUAGUUGGUGAGGUAAAAGCUCACCAAGGCGACGACGGGUAGCCGGCCUGAGAGGGUGACCGGCCACACUGGAACUGAGACACGGUCCAGACUCCUACGGGGGCAGCAGUGGGGAAUCUUCCACAAUGGGCGAAAGCCUGAUGGAGCGACGCCGCGUGAGCGAAGAAGGCCUUCGGGUGUAAAGCUCUGUCUGGAGGGACGAAGGAAGUGACGGUACCUCCGGAGGAAGCCACGGCUAACUACGUG